GUCAGUUUUCAAAACAUUGAUAAUAAUUUUAGGUUAUAAUUUCACAAAAAAAUGAUUCUUCAUAGUAAAAUUAAUAUUAUGUUUCGUAAUCUUUCGUCUGUACGUUUGACAACGAAUAGAACAUUUAAGAAUUUUGGCCACAAACGGGAACAAAUUCCUCUUGUUACCACAUUAUGGCAUGGGUUCCUUACCUUUACUUUCAUUGGAACGGCAUUGAAUUGGGACGCAAUAAACAAAUUCAUUUUUGGUGACAAGGACUUUGAUGAAGAUAUUCAAAAGUCUCUGGCAUACAAGAUCGUAGAAGAUUAGGUAACAGGUUUGGGAUUUUAGUCAAUUAUAAUGUAAAUUUUAGGAAUUAGUAAUAAUUUGUAAACGCGUACAACUAAAUGUAAAAUAUACUUUUAAGAUAA